AUUGAACGCUGGCGGCAUGCCUUACACAUGCAAGUCGAACGGUAACGCGGGGCAACCUGGCGACGAGUGGCGAACGGGUGAGUAAAGCAUCGGAACGUGCCCAGGAGUGGGGGAUAGCCCGGCGAAAGCCGGAUUAAUACCGCAUACGACCUACGGGUGAAAGGGGGGGAUCGCAAGACCUCUCGCUAUUGGAGCGGCCGAUGUCAGAUUAGCUAGUUGGUGGGGUAAAGGCCUACCAAGGCGACGAUCUGUAGCUGGUCUGAGAGGACGACCAGCCACACUGGGACUGAGACACGGCCCAGACUCCUACGGGAGGCAGCAGUGGGGAAUUUUGGACAAUGGACGCAAGUCUGAUCCAGCCAUGCCGCGUGCGGGAAGAAGGCCUUCGGGUUGUAAACCGCUUUUGUCAGGGAAGAAAUCUUCUGGGUUAAUACCUCGGGAGGAUGACGGUACCUGAAGAAUAAGCACCGGCUAACUACGUGCCAGCAGCCGCCGUAA
rnacentral:rRNA from 1 species